GACGAACGCUGGCGGCGUGCUUAACACAUGCAAGUCGAGCGGAGCGGCCAACGGGUGAGUAACGCGUGAGUAACUGCCCCCCUCUCUGGGAUAACAGUUGGCAACGGCUGCUAAUACCGGAUAGUGGGGGAUGACUUGCGCCCUAUCAGCUUGUUGGUGUGGUAGUGGCCUACCAAGGCGACGACGGGUAGCCGACCUGGGAGGGCGACCGGCCACGUUGGGCUUAGUUACGGCCCAAACUCCUACAGGAAGCAGCAGGGGAGAGUAUUGCACAGUGGGGUAAAGCCUGAUACAGCAGCCCGCGUGCGGGAUGACGUCCUUCCGGUUGUGAACCGCUUUCAGCCAUGACGCGGUAGUGGCAGAAGAAGCACCGGCUAACUACGUGCCAGCAGCCGCGGUAAUUC
rnacentral:rRNA from 1 species